UCAUUUAGUGCAAGAGUGUGCAAAAACAAGGUUUAGAAAUGCUGGGUUACGGCUGUGUGAGCUGCCUGGGACUGUGGAGCACUGUGCUUGAGUUACUCCUUCUUGGAAUUCUCAAGCUGAGCUCUUCAGAAUCCUCAAGGGAUCAUACUCCUGCUGUUUCCUCAGAGAGCCUAAGAAAUCCACAGAGAAAUUCAGCUCCUGGAAAGGGUCUGAUCUGCAGAUCUACAUUGAGAACAAAGUAGCUGAAAUAUUAUUCUUUCCUGCCUGACUGAAAUCCAAAUCAACAGGUGCUGAACUUAAGAAUUAGAAAGUCAUGUGACCCAACAGAAUGUGAAAUCCAUGGGUUGUGAUCUACCAACGUUUAAAAAAUGUGUUUUCAUGGUCAUUGGUGUAAAGGUAAGUUGGAGCCAUACGCUCAGGGCACACUCUUGCUCUGGUGUAUUACACAUGGAUACAUGCAAAAGCUAGUUACUGCUUUGUAAAGUUUGAUCCCAUCACAGAGUAAUUUACAAAGUGUAGCUUUGCAUCAUAGAAUCAGCAGAAUCAAAGUAGUAGUACUCUUUGUCCCUUUCCUCUCUAGAAAAGUCUUUCAGACAUCUCUACACAAACUCCUGAUUUCAGAAUGAGAGUGUUUCAUCAGUGACACAGAGUUGUGUCACUUAAGAUCAACCUCCAUAAAAGGAUCCAGGAAAUUGGCACUGUGAAAAGAAUUGUAUGAAAUUAUUUUUACUAGGAAUUAAGUCUUUUUUGGAGAAACCUACCUGUCUCUUCCAACAAGAUUAAGAGGAAUUACCUCCAAACAUUACUGGAAAAUGCAUUCCCUAGGAACCUAUAUUCCAGAAGGCCAAGAUAAUAACUUUCCUAAGCACUCAGGUGAUGGAGGAGCAUCAUGUGAGUAUGAAGCAACCCUGCCCUUCAGAACCAAGAUGCCCAACACGCAACACUGUCACUACAAACACUGUUUUGCAGACAAGCCAGAAUGGCAAGCAAAUGAACACAAGGCACACAGCUCGGAAUAAAUUCUUCAGUGAAAGCUUUUGCUGAAGAAAACUGUUACCAAGUGGUUCUCUGUGGUUCUGCCCACAGCUACUCCCUUCAGUUUAAAAAUGGCAGCCAGAGCUCCUCUCCACAACUGCUGCAAGGAGCAGUUCGGAUGUACAAGGUGAGGAACUGGAUUUACACUGAACAAACACCACUCUUUCAGUGGGACAAGAAUCACUCACUGCAAAAAAAGUUGUGCUAUGAUCUCCUCAGGCUUUCUUUUUUUCUUUUAAAGCUUAUAGAACUUCCAGCACCACAGGUCAUCCACUUGCUCUAGGCAAGGUUUGCUUUGCAGAUGAUGGAUGUGGGAAGUAUUAAAUUACACAGCCCUAUCUGUAUCCUGCUAUUAGAUUCUAAGUGCCCACUCACGUCUUUUGCCUUAGCAGAAACUGCCACACGGAUGUGUGUGUGCUGGGGGCUAUUUGUUUCAAUCAUUUCAAUUUUCUUUUAAGGAGAUGCUACUGCACAGUCACCCUCAUCUGGUUGCAUUCAGCUGUAGCUAGCAGUGUUUGCACAGCAUUCCUGCAGCACCCACGCUUGCCAGCUACACACAGAGCUGAUUACACGUCUGCACAACACGAACACAGUCACUAUGGCACAAACUUCCUGGGAAUUUGUCCAGGCCUGAAUCACAGAAUCAUAGGGAUUAGAAGAGACCUCUGGAGAUCCCCCAGCUCAACCCUCCUAAAGCAGUUCCCUGCAGCAGCUCAUACGGGAAAGCAUCCAGGCAAGUACUGAAAGUCUCCAGAGAAGGAGAUUCCACAGCCUCUCCGGGCAGCUGUUCCAAUGCUCUGUUACCCUCAUAGGAAAGUUAUUCCACAUGUUUGUAAAGAACUUCUUAUGUUCCAGUUUGUGCCCCUUGUCCUGUCACUGCACACCACAGCAAAGAGCCUCGCCCCAUCCACUUAAAGUUGUUCCAUAUCACUGCACCACACAUCCACACAGACAGACCCAUAACCAGGCAGCCUGCUUUACCUACAGCUCUGAAUGCAAUCUCCAAGAAAUAUUCUAUCAGAAAUAAACUGUGUGGCUCACGGAGAAAAAAAAAACAACCAAAAACAAUAAAAAUGCUGAAUGGCAUCUGUAAGUAAGAGACAGCGUCCAGAGGUGCAUGCUAUCACCUUUUUAUUCAGUCCCAAACACGAGGAGACGGAAUGAAAGUUUGCACUGUUUUCUAGCGAUCUGGGCACGGAAGCCAGCCUCUCAGCGUGUUUGUGCAACAAUCCACAGAGCUUACAGAUGUUAGAAGGACCG